CCUGGCUCAGAGUGAACGCUGGCGGCGUGCUUAACACAUGCAAGUCGAACGAGAACGGAUUAUAGCUUGCUAUAAUUGUCAGCUAAGUGGCGCACGGGUGAGUAAUAUAUAGGUAACGUGCCCUAGAGAGGGGGAUAACAGUUGGAAACGAUUGCUAACACCCCAUAUGCCUUUAUCCCAUAAGGGAGCAAGGGAAAUAUUUAUAGCUCUAGGAUCGGCCUGUACAGUAUCAGUUAGUUGGUGAGGUAAUGGCUCACCAAGACAAUGACGCUUAACUGGUUUGAGAGGAUGAUCAGUCACACUGGAACUGAGACACGGUCCAGACUCCUACGGGAGGCAGCAGUGGGGAAUAUUGCACAAUGGACGAAAGUCUGAUGCAGCAACGCCGCGUGGAGGAUGACACAUUUCGGUGCGUAAACUCCUUUUAUAUAGGAAGAUAAUGACGGUACUAUAUGAAUAAGCACCGGCUAACUCCGUG
rnacentral:rRNA from 1 species